rnacentral:rRNA from 1 species
GAUGAACGCUGGCGGCGUGCCUAAUACAUGCAAGUCGAGCGAACAGACGAGGAGCUUGCUCCUCUGACGUUAGCGGCGGACGGGUGAGUAACACGUGGAUAACCUACCUAUAAGACUGGGAUAACUUCGGGAAACCGGAGCUAAUACCGGAUAAUAUAUUGAACCGCAUGGUUCAAUAGUGAAAGACGGUUUUGCUGUCACUUAUAGAUGGAUCCGCGCCGCAUUAGCUAGUUGGUAAGGUAACGGCUUACCAAGGCGACGAUGCGUAGCCGACCUGAGAGGGUGCUCGCCCACACGAGAACGGAGACACGGCCCAGACUCCGACGGGAGGCAGCAGUGGGGAAUCUUCGGCAAUGGGCGAAAGCAUGACGAAGAAACGCCGGGGGUGGGAAGAAGGUCUUGGGUGUGUAAAACUCUUUUAUGGGGAAAGAAAAACUGUAUAAUAACAAAUGCCGUUCUUGACGGUACCUAAUAAAAAAGCACCGGCUAACUCCGUG